rnacentral:rRNA from 1 species
AGGACGAACGCUGGCGGCGUGCUUAACACAUGCAAGUCGAGCGGUAAGGCCUUUCGGGGUACACGAGCGGCGAACGGGUGAGUAACACGUGGGUGAUCUGCCCUGCACUUCGGGAUAAGCCUGGGAAACUGGGUCUAAUACCGGAUAUGACCUCCUAUCGCAUGGUGGGUGGUGGAAAGAUUUAUCGGGUGCAGGAUGGGCCCGCGGCCUAUCAGCUUGUUGGUGGGUAAUGGCCUACAAGGCGACGACGGGUAGCCGACUGAGAGGGUGACCGGCCACACUGGGACUGACGACACGGCCCAGACUCCUACGGGAGCAGCAGUGGGAAUAUUGCACAAGUGGGCGAAAGCCUAGAUGCAGCGACGCCGCGUGAGGAUGGACGGUCC